AUUCAAUUUCAAACUUUAGUUGAAAAGUAUUUUUCGUUACCAAUUAAAAGUUUCCAAGCUGAUUGGGGUGGGGAAUUUCAAGCAUUAACCACUUUUCUAUGAGAGAAUGGGAUAACCCAACAUGUGUUAUAUUCAUAUACUCCUGAACAAAACAGUUGUGCUGAGCACAAACAUAGGCAUAUAGUAGAAAUUGGCCGAGCUCUAUUACACCAUGCUUCGGUACCUCAGAAAUAUUGGACCCAUGCUUUUGAAAUUGCCAUCUACACUAUAAAUAGGAUCCCUUCUACCCACACAACGCCAUCCACCCCAUAUGAAAUUUUCUUCAAUGCCACGCCAAAUUACAAUGACCUGCGUGUCUUCGGCUGUCUUUGUUAUCCAUGGUUAAAACCACAUGCUGCAAAUAAAUUGGAUGCUCGUUCCAUCAAAUAUGCAUUUUUG
rnacentral:misc_RNA from 1 species